CGGGUCACGUAACCUCCGCACGGCAGCUCGGCGUUUGGGGGCCGCCACGGUGCCGCCCGCCCGUCUGUCGCGGCCUUUCCCCGGUGAGCCCGCAGCAGCCCGGCGCCCUGCCUGGACCAGCGCUGCGCGUGAGGAGGGGCUCCCCGCGGCUUGGCUUUUGUGAACUCGCUCGGGCCCUUGCUCCUUAUUGCCACAAGAGUUUCCGAUGCUGUGUUUAAGCCACGGUUUUGUGUUGGCCCACGAGGGGUUUUAUUCGGCUCCAGCUGUAGGAAAAGCACCCUUUUGGCAGAGAGUGUGGCCCUUUAUGGCUGUUCUAUGAAGCAGUUCGUGGCCUCGUUACUACGUCUGUCAGAACAGAAGACAUCAGCAUAAACACUAAGCCUGCUUGGAAGAGGUUUAAGUGAACUGGGGCGAGGACAGCUGAGCCCCAGUAUACACCAGCAAUCAAGCCACACCAGCAUAAAUACAAUAGAGAAAAAAAUUAACCAAAACUUACAAGUCAGCAUUACUCUUGGGCUGCCUAGAGACCAAUUCAAUGAAAACAGAAUGUAAAUUGAGUCCAGGUGCUCAGUUGGGAAUGGAUGGGAAGCAAAGUGCAACCUCCACAUGGCCUCUGGUGCUUUGCUGGGCAUUGCUAAUAAGUAAUACAAAUUACUGCUGCAAAAAUGGAAAUUGGCAGUUAUAAAAAUACAGCUGAGUUUGAGGGAAGGAGUAAGGAAUUGCUUUCCAGGGAAGGAAGGCAAGCCAUGUGGUUAGACUGCAAAGUCUCCUUCAGGAGAGCACAGUAAGUUCCUGAGACCUCCCAAGAGUUUCUUAGGGAGAUUCAUCUGGAGGACUAAGAAAGUGGAGCCAGUGAAGUUGUAUUGACUCUACUGAUACUAUCCUCCUAAAUGAAAUGGUGGAAGAACAAGGCCUGUCUGUGAGAUGGAGUCAGGACUUACUUUCUCUACCUACAAGGUUUUUGUGGCAAUUAGAGGGAACAAGUUAGUCCUCAUGGGUUCCUUUGCUCCUGGCUCCAGGACUGGGUGAUGAGGGACACUGGACACCGUGACAAAUUAUGGUAUUUCUUUUUGCUGCCUUAACAGUCCUGUACAGAGUCUCUGGCAAUGGCCACGUUCUCCUCAGCAGACCACUCUGUAUUCAGGCAUCAGGCUUGUGUUGUCCAGCAGAUUCAUCAAGCUGGCAGUGUAAUGACGAAGCUUGUCCCAGUCCCACAGUGUCAGAGCACCUCAUGGUUGGCUCGGUGAAUCCAUCCUUGCAGCACUCCUAAGAAAUGGUCGUGAAGUCCUGGGGACCCCCAGGAGAGUUCACCAGCUGGAAAAUCUUUUGGACUGAGUUCCUGUAGCAUCUGAGGCGAACAGCUAAUCCAGGUGUCAGAAUACAGGUAUGGAUUAAACACUUUGAGCGGAAAGCUCUUAGUGGGGAGCAGUGUCACAUGGAGCUAUUUACAAAAGAAUAUAUGUCUGCAUGAGAAUCAUUUGGUGCAUCUAGCAGUCCUUCUGCCUUAAGGGCUUCCUUGAGGGAUUUUAGUCAUCCUAAUAUUUCUGCUCUUACUCCUUUCAGAUGUUUUUCUCUGCUUGUAAAGAGGAGCAUGGCUCUUGAUUCGGCAGAUAAAGGUAAAAGAUGUUUUGGUGGCUAGAAGCUAGACCUUGAAUCAAGGCAUACGUUUUUAAGCAAAUAAAAUCAGGCUCUAAAACAACUUGGGCUGUGGUGCUAUCAUCACUAGGUCAUACCCUGGCAGAGAAGCUGUACAUCUCAGCUGCGGUUCUCUGGUAUGGCCUUGCCAGGGUCAGCAGGGCUCUGCCUCCUCACGCGUUAUGCAUUGGCCAUGGUUGCCAGCCAAGACGCCUUUGGCUGGCAGACCCCAGCUGUUAUGCUCACUGCAAGGCACAGCAACUGAAAUUCUCUGACCUGCCUUAUGGGAGGUCUGACCAGAGGACCGUAACAGCCCUUUCUGGGGCUUCCUGGCAGGCUAUGCUUACAUAGCUCAGUGUUGUUAAACCCUUCUUUUUUGGGCCUUAUAAAACAAGUUAAUGUAUACAAGAGAAGAUGGGAGUAAUCACUGCCGUAAUGACAGAUUCAGUUCCUGUUUGCAUAGUUUUGUUAAAGCCUGAGGAGAUUUUCAGGGAGAUGUAUUUUUUUUUUUCCUCUUCUUUUAAGGUCAUUUGGGGAAGAACGGACAAGCUUUUGGCACACAGUUGUACAUCAAACCUCUUAAGUUUUGUCAGGCUUUGUUUUCCUGUAUAUUGUAGUCUCCCUGUUCCUGGCUGUGCCUUAGAAUGGAAAUAUGAAGCAAUGGUUUUGUAAUGAAUGUGUAAUAAAUCUGUGGAAAAGC